rnacentral:rRNA from 1 species
AUGAAAGACCUUCGAGUAGCUGAUGUUAUCUUGAACAUCAAGCUUUUAAGAGGUUGUGAUGGUGGGAUCACUCUCUUGCAGUCUCACUAUGUGGAGAAGAUUCUGGAUCGCUUUGGACAUUCAGAUUGUAAACCUUCUCCGACACCUUAUGAUCCGAGUGUUUUAAUUUGGAAGAACGAGGGAGAAACAAAGGAUCAAUUGAGAUAUUCUCAAAUCAUUGGCUCGCUUAUGUAUUUAGCUAGUGCUACGAGGCCUGACAUCUCGUUUUCUGUGAGUAAACUAAGCCGGUUUGUUUCAAACCCAGGAGAUGUUCAUUGGCAUGCACUUGAGAGAAUAAUGCGCUAUCUGAAAGGUACUGCGAGUUAUGGGCUUCACUAUACCGGGUAUCCAAGAGUACUUGAAGGUUAUAGUGAUGCAAAUUGGAUAUCUGAUGCUGAUGAGCUUAAAGCGACAAGUGGUUAUGUGUUUACACUUGGUGGUGAUGUUGUUUCCUGGAAGUCUUGCAAGCAGACCAUCUUAACAAGGUCAACAAUGGAAGCAGAACUCACAGCAUUAGACACGGCAACAGUUGAAGCAGAAUGGCUUCGAGAACUUUUGAUGGACUUGCCGAUGGUUGAAAAACCAAUACCAGCUAUUCUAAUGAACUGUGAUAAUCAAACAGUGAUCGUCAAGGUAAACAGUUCUAAGGAUAAUAAGAAGUCAUCAAGACACGUGAGAAGGAGACUGAAAUCCGUCAGGUUCAUGAGAAACUCCGGAGUUAUAGCGUUGGACUAUAUAAACACAUCGAAGAAUCUAGCAGAUCCCUUCACAAAGGGUUUAUCACGAAAUGUGAUAGACAAUGCAUCGAAGGAGAUGGGAUUGAGACCCACUACAUAA